rnacentral:rRNA from 1 species
UGGGGAAUAUUGGACAAUGGGCGCAAGCCUGAUCCAGCCAUGCCGCGUGAGUGAUGAAGGCCCUAGGGUUGUAAAGCUCUUUCACCGGUGAAGAUAAUGACGGUAACCGGAGAAGAAGCCCCGGCUAACUUCGUGCCAGCAGCCGCGGUAAUACGAAGGGGGCUAGCGUUGUUCGGAUUUACUGGGCGUAAAGCGCACGUAGGCGGACUUUUAAGUCAGGGGUGAAAUCCCGGGGCUCAACCCCGGAACUGCCUUUGAUACUGGAAGUCUUGAGUAUGGUAGAGGUGAGUGGAAUUCCGAGUGUAGAAGUGAAAUUCGUAGAUAUUCGGCGGAACACCAGUGGCGAAGGCGGCUCACUGGACCAUUACUGACGCUGAGGUGCGAAAGCGUGGGGAGCAAACAGG